CCGUAUACCAAGAUUGUAAUCAGCCUGGUGUUAAACUGGCUGCCUAAGCCUUGGUUUACUGCUCUUCAACCAGAUUAGGACCUGAUUUUACUGCCAGGACUGAUAUCGAAGUAUCUGGAUGCUAGUCAGGGUGGUCAAGGCGAAGGACUGGUAUCCAAGGCUCGAUAGGACUAGGAUAAAGCUGUAUCCCACACUGGUAGCCCAGGCUUUGAAUAACCUAAAUAAAAUUAAGAAAAUUGAAGGGAGAAUUAAUCAGUUCUUCACAAAGUCUCAUAUUUAAAUGUCAGGGGCUAUUGAGGAAGUGGUUUAUAACGUACUUACUCAUUAUCCAGGAAACAAAAGGCGAAGGAGUUAUCUUCCUUGAGGCAACGCAACCGGGCAAGUUAUGUCUGUAAAUUAGUGCCGAACCAUCAGAUACACAAUAAUUAAUUAUAUUAUAUUCCAUCAUUUUUAUUAUCAAUUGUUGGAUCCGAUGGUCACAGCUGCAAACCCCAGGGCAGUUUAUGUUCUUUUCAAUGUCAUUUUGAAAAUCAAUAUUUAUGAUAAUUAAGACCACGUGCAAGUGAAAAUAUAACGGUAAUUGAAGCACAGUUUUAAAAGAUAUUUUUUAAACAGUUAACCUGGUGAUAAUUGAAGUUUGGAUGACGCGUGGAUUUUUCUAAAAUAAAGCCUGGUUCACCCUUGGAUAAGAAGCUUUCGAUACCACGUUACACGCCAGUGUAAUGGAUAGGAUCAG